UGUAGCAGAUUUAAUAAAUAAAAGAAGGCUUGCAAAUUUUAGUCUCUAUAUGAAAGUAUAAUAAAGGAUAUGUUAAUGUGUGGUUUAAAUAAAAACUGUCUUCACAUUAGGCUAUGUCUAUUAAAAGAAUCACCGGAGAAGGCAUUCAAUAUCACUUGCCUGUGACACUGUCACAGCAAAGAAUUAAACAAACCGAUGACAAUGAUGGGAGUAAAGAAGCAAUCAAAGAAGUAUUUGUUAUUCAAUCAAAAAAACAUUUUAAGAGUCAUCAAGGUUCACAUGCUUGUAAAAGUCAUUGGUCAAAAUCUUUGGAUGAAAAUAGUCAAGGUUGUGAGUUGUCACUGUCAAGUCAAGAAGGUUCAAAGAAAAUGCACGAUAAUAGUAUUAUUAAUAGUAAUAAUAGUAGUAAUUCUAGUCAGACCUGUAGUCAUUGUGAUCAAAGACAUAAAUUGUCAUAUCCUGCCAAACAUAUUCAAUGUCAUAAUUUGAAUUUCUUU